UUGAACUGUCCAAGCAAUUAGAAUUGACUUCUCGGUAGAACUGACACCUGAGUGUCAGUCUGAAGAAUGAAUAGGAGUAUCUAGAUGAAGACAGGAAACAAAAUUGAUUGGUAAAGGAGAGUGAUCAGACUUGAGCUGUGAAGAGCUGGCUUGUUUGGUGUUUUCCAGAAAGUAGGAAAUACCUUGCGGGAAGUCUCUACCUGAACAUUCUGGAGAACAUCCCCUUUUGGUAUCAUUCUGCCAUGAUCCAUGAUGUCCUUCAGGGCGAACUGAUCAGUAACCUUCUUGCCUGUUUGCGUGAUGCCAGCCACUGUGUGCCAG
rnacentral:lncRNA from 1 species